GAUGAACGCUGGCGGCGUGCCUAAUACAUGCAAGUCGAGCGAACGGACGAGAAGCUUGCUUCUCUGAUGUUAGCGGCGGACGGGUGAGUAACACGUGGAUAACCUACCUAUAAGACUGGGAUAACUUCGGGAAACCGGAGCUAAUACCGGAUAAUAUUUUGAACCGCAUGGUUCAAAAGUAAAAGACGGUCUUGCUGUCACUUAUAGAUGGAUCCGCGCUGCAUUAGCUAGUUGGUAAGGUAACGGCUUACCAAGGCAACGAUGCAUAGCCGACCUGAGAGGGUGAUCGGCCACACUGGAACUGAGACACGGUCCAGACUCCUACGGGAGGCAGCAGUAGGGAAUCUUCCGCAAUGGGCGAAAGCCUGACGGAGCAACGCCGCGUGAGUGAUGAAGGUCUUCGGAUCGUAAAACUCUGUUAUUAGGGAAGAACAUAUGUGUAAGUAACUGUGCACAUCUUGACGGUACCUAAUCAGAAAGCAACGGCUAACUACGUG
rnacentral:rRNA from 1 species